CCAGCAGCUGCGGUAAUUCCGGCUCCAAUAGCGUAUAUUAAAGUUGUUGCAGUUAAAAAGCUCGUAGUUGGAUUUCUGGGAGGGCGCCAAUGUCCGCUCGUUCGCGUGUGCAGCGGCGCCCUUCCAUCCUUCUGUUAACGCUUCUUGGUAUUCAGUUACUGGUAGCGGGCUCAGAUAUUUUACCUUGAGAAAAUUAGAGUGUUCCAGGCAGGCUUGCGCCGGAAUACAUUAGCAUGGAAUAAUAGAAUAGGACUUUAGUCUCCUUUGUUGGUUUGAGGGACUGCAGUAAUGAUUAAUAGGGAUAGUUGGGGGCAUUAGUAUUUAAUUGUCAGAGGUGAAAUUCUCGGAUUUGUUAAAGACUAACUUAUGCGAAAGCAUUUGCCAAGGAUGUUUUCA
rnacentral:rRNA from 1 species